CUAUCUAAGACUUCCUGGACUUGGAAGUAAAUGGUUUCUAAGACUUGUCCUGGCUAAGGCUUGACUCCCCUCCCCUCGCAGAGGAUGCAGGGACAUACCGAAAGAAGAGAGGAAGAUGAAAGAGAUGAGUCUGCAGUAAGUUUCCUGUAGAGUAGAAGACCGGUGAUUACCGCAGAUUUGGAAAACUUUAGGAAUUAGAAUGAAGGAAUCCCCACACACGGGAACAACAAACACAUCCAGAUCCAAAAGAGUGGGACUUACAAGUAGGAAAAACAGCAACUGAAAUCAAAGACACCGUGUUACGCAUCACAGGUUUCAGCACACGGAAAGUGGAGCAGGACUUAUGACCAGGUCUGCUUCUGCCAAGAUCUGGUAGUUGUCAGGGAAUUACUCACUCAGAAGAAAUGCAGCAAGCAGAAUGUUUGUUCGCUGAAACUCUAUCAUAUUUAAAAAUUAUUACAAAUUUAGACGACAUGGAAAAUUACAACUCAGAAUAACAUAGAGGCAGCCAAACAUUAGGCUCAGUAGCCCUGAACACAAUCACGCUAUUUCUUCGGUUAUAUUUCUUUUGGAGACCAGGCCUAAAAUAUACACAUAAGUGGAAAUUACUAGUCUUUUUAUCAUCAGGAAAGAUUGUUGUCUUGCCUCAGUCAGUGAUUUCACUCUUUCCCAUGCUUUAUAAACAGUUAUGCACUAAGGAAUGGUCAUGGUUCUUAAUAUUUACAAAUGGUACUGCUUGACCUAUAAGCAGAAAAACCAAACUCUCAUCAAAUUUUAUUUAAGUAAAUGUGCAAUGGUCUACUGCAAUUUAAUUCAAGCCCUCAAAUGAAACAUUUCAAAUAAAAAGAAACAAAGUCCCCCAUUA